rnacentral:rRNA from 1 species
GACGAACGCUGGCGGCGUGCUUAACACAUGCAAGUCGAACGAAGUGGCGAACGGGUGAGUAAUACGUGGGUAACCUGCCCUCCUUUUUGGGAUAAGCCUUGGAAACGGGGUCUAAUACCGAAUAAAGGGGGAUGGGCUCGCGGCCUAUCAGCGUGUUGGUGGGGUGAUGGCCUACCAAGGCGGUGACGGGUAGCCGGCCUGAGAGGGUGAACGGCGACGGUGGGACUGAGAAUAGUCCCAGGCUACGAAGGGGGGGCGAAGUUGGGGAUAUUGACCAAAGGGCGAAAGACUGAUGCCGCGAGGGCGCGGGGGGGAUUCAGGUUUUAGGGUUGGAAACCUCGUUCGCUAUCGAACGGGUAGGUGGAGAAGAAGCGCCGGCUAACUACGUGCCAGCAGCCGCGGUAAUUC